GAGCUCGGUUCCCAGGCUUGGGGUCCGAGGCAGAGAACGCGAAGGAAGAGACAGAAGAAGUCACUAUGGCAUAAGCAGAUCCUGAGCUCACGGACAUGAGGACUGGCCUGCUAGAGAAAGAGCGGCCCAGGCAGAGCAUGGCAGGAAUUGAGUACUGAUUGCAGUAGCUUUGGAGGAUGGAUGCUCUGUCUGACUUUCUUAUGAUGCUCCUGGAAGAUGAGACCCUCUAGGAAGAAGCCUCUGCUUCCCACUGCUGGAUUGUGAUGGAUCUCAUUCGUGCUUGUCUCACUCCUGGAACAAAACCUCUGACCGGAGCAACUUAAGGAAGGGAAUGUGAAAAGCUAUGCUGACAGGGGAGGUCUCAGUCUGUGGAGCUUACAUUCAGGGCGGGCCUUCCCACCUUAGUCUAACCACUCUACUCUCGGAAGAGUAUCUCCUACUGCAUCAGAAAGCCAACCAAAUGAUCCAUCCGGCAAUAUUAUGACAACAGAUUUAUCCAAAGGAUAUCAGUGUACCAGUCCACAUUCGCUGCCGCAGUAUCUAAACCAGCAAGACAUGUAACCAAUGGAUGAAAUGCAGAAAAAGAUGGCAUACACAUGAUUCCAUGUAUAUAUAGCACAUAUACAUAGCUACAAAGUAGCACUGUUCAGCCUUUAAAACAUAAAGAAAUCUCAUCUCUUCCGGCUUUAUUUAUGUUGCGUCAAUUAAACACACCAGCCCAACAACUCAGGACAUGAAGGGUUUAUUUGGCAACUUCACAACUGCAGUCCAUUAUUUCUGGGGAGUCCAGUCAAGAACUCAAGUUGCUGAUCACACCAUAUCCACAGUCAAGAGCGGAGAGGCAUGAGUGCACCAUGCUGCAUCUGGCUCUCUCCUGUCUCAUUCAGCUCAGGAGCCUCUGCCUAGGGAGUGACGCCACCCGCAAAGGGCUGGGUCUUCCCGCGUCAAUUAAAAAUGAAGACAAUUCCCCACACGCAUGCCCACAGACAAACCUAAUCUGGGCAGUUCCACAAAUGAGACUGUCUUCUUGGCUGCUCCUAGGUUGUGUCAAGUUGACAGUUAAAACUAAGGAGGACUCCGUCUUUCUUGAUUGACUAACCAGGGUGGACCAGAAAAACGUGAUACUAAGCGAUUAAGUACUACUUGGCUCUUCACACUUUGGAUGUCCUAGAAGGGGGUCAGACACCCAACCACACAGUCUGCAUUGACUCCCUCGAGUGUGAGUCAACUAAGAGUCACCUCUGUUUCACAGUUCAAGGAUCUCUGAGAACUCUGAAGACCCCACGAUUAUCCAUAGUGAGGGAUGUUGAGUCCCAGGGCUCAGAAUGUCGGCAGCUCUAGACAAACAUUCAGUUCUCUGUUUACAGUGCGUGUGGAUGCCCCUUCACUGGCCUUGAAGUGCAGAGGCAGGUCCAGCUUACACAGGUUCUACAUGGUCCUGAUGAAGAAGUUAUCACAGCAUGGUAGGCACCCACAGAUUAUCUCUCUCCAGCGCUAACAACACCCCCAAUCCCCCUUCUUCCCUCUUCUUUAUCUCCUGUGUCUCCACUGUUGAAGAGCCAGGGAGACUCCAGUGUCAUGGACUGGGUGUUAAUAUGUAGCUUCUUGGUGAUCCUGCAUAUUGAAAUCCCUCCUUAAAGAGAUGAUAAAUUCUAAAGUGAGAAAGGAUGCCAAGCUGGCCUACAUAAAGCAGGAGCUUAAGGGAAGGGCAGGAGAUGUCACCAGAGAUAACCUGCAACUUGUUUAACCACAGCUGUAUGCUCAGGGUCUUCUGGCAUCUCCAUGAGCGACUAACUCUGCCUUCUUUGGUACCUCUUAAGGGCUAUUUCCAGUACAAAAUGACCAUUCUAACACCUAGCUAGCCCUCAGCCCACCCACUACCCAAGCAUGUACAAACAAGAUGUACUAUUUCUGUAUCCACAGGCUUGCCUCCCUUCUCUCCCUGCUUUUUAAAUCCUGCUCUGGUCUCUGGCCUUUGGCUUCAUCUUUAAUCCAACUCCUCAAACAUGAGAAGCCUUUAUAUGUUCAAUAAAGUAGCAAUAAGUAGCAUGGAGCCCACGCACAGAAAAGCUGCAUUAUUCUUUGAUGGUCCCUCCUCCUAGGGAGGCAGGGAAACUUCUGUGGAGUGAUAUCUUGUAGACAACUGUGACAGAGGCUGCUAGCUGUUCCCGAUAUCCUCAGUGUCCCCUCACAUACUCGGUCAAUUCUGUUUCUUAGGCACAGGAGCUUGUGUAGAAAGACUUUCCCUCUACCCUCUGAGCGCUUGAUACCCAAGUGCAUGAGGUGACUGCUAAAAGACAGAUUGGCAGCUGAGACAGAACUCAUGGCUCAUGGUUGUCACAGGGAUGGAAGUCAAUACCUAUAAAACCAGAGGGAUUUAGAAACUCUAAAACCUUGUCACUUAGGCAGGGGUGGUGGCACACAUCUUUAAUCAUCCCAGCAUUUGGGAGGCGGAGGUAGGCCGACCAUUGAGUCUGAGGCCACUCUGGUCUACAGAGUGAAUUCCAGGACAACCAAGGCUACACAGAGAAACCCUGUCCCAAGGAACCAAAAGAAACUUUCAUAUUUGUGUGUGUAUGUAUGUGUAGUAUGUAUAUAUGCAUGUAUAUGUAUAUGAUAUGUAAGCAUGUGUGAUGUGAGGAGGAGUGGUUUACAAAUGUGUGUGUGAAGCUAUGUGUAUGUGGCUUGUAUAUGUGUGGAUGGAUAUGGAUAUGUGAUUAUGUAUGAUUUCAUAUGUGUGUGUGUACAUGCACAUAUGUAUGUAUUUGGGAAAUGGGUGGGUGGUAUGGUAUUUAUAUGUGUGUGCUAAAGGGGGAAUGUAUGUAUGCAUGCAUAUAUAUGUGCCUAUUUUUUUGUGUAGUGUGCAUAUGUAUGUAUUUUGUAUAUGUGUGUGGUAUGUAUGUGUGCAGUGUGUGUGAGGCAGUGUAUGUGAAACAGCAUGCAGUGUAAAGCAGUGAGCAGUAUAUGUGAGGUGGUAUACAGUGUGUGAGGCAGUGUGCAGUGUGUGUGAGGCAGUAUGCAGUGUGUGUGAGGCAGUGGGCAGUGUGUGUGAGGCAGUGUGCAGUAUGUGUGAGGCAGUGUGCAGUGUGAGGCAGUGUACAGUGUGUGUCCCUAUGCAGUGUAAGGCAGUAUGCAGUAUGUGUGAGGCAGUGUGCAGUGUAAAGCAGUGUGCAGGGUAUAUGACACUGUGCCAUGUGCAGUGUGAGGCAGUGUACAGUGUGUGUCCCUAUGCAGUGUAAGGCAGUGUGCAGUGUGUGAGGCAGUGUUCAGUGUGAGUCAGUGUACAAUGUGUGAGACAGUGUGCAGUGUGUGAGGCAAUGUGCAGUGUGAGGCAGUGUGCAGUGUGUGAGGCCCUGUGCAGUGUGAGGCAGUGAAUUUGGGUCCCUUUUCCAAGCAUCUGUGCUUGGGUAGAAGAAACAGGGACAGGCCGUCCGUCCCUGUACCCACUGUUGUCAGUACAUCAGAGCAGAGGGCUUCCUGAACACCUAUACCCAUCUGUAAGAUCUUUAAAAAUCCUGGGAGAAGAUUUUCCACCACAUAGCUGUGGGCCUCAUGCCUACCUAUAGGCUGAGGAACACAGUGUUGAUAGGACCAGCUGUCUCCACAGGAGCUAUCUGGUCAGCCUUCAGAGAAAAGAAUUCGGAGGGGGUCUGUUCCUGCAAAGGUGAGAGAGGCCUUGGGCAGAUAAAAGACUACAAGUUUCCAUGGGGGGCUUUUAAGCUUCUGAGGCGGGUACUUCCUGUUUGCCUGGCAUAGCCCUUCUGUGGUUGCUGCGGAAGGUGGGCUAGGCUAAUUGCCAAUUUGUGUGUGAAGUAGGAAAGGCUGGGCUUCUUUCAUCUUGAACUUUUAUUUCUUAUGUGUGCUGCCCUGAUAAAUCUGCUUAUCAUGGCUUUCUCUGGAUGGGUCCUACAGCCUUCAUGGUCUCCUGUGUCCCUGUUGAAAGUCUUAUUCACACACUUGUGUGCACACCUUGAUUAUAAACAAUUUUAUUUUUUACUUCUCUGCCUUUGGCUUACUUCAAACCCAUUGACUCCACCACCAGGAUGUAUAAAACAAAACAAAACCACCUUGAAUGUCAGGAAUCAAAAGCCCGUGCAGAGGAAACUGAGACUAUGCAGUUGCUUGCAUGAUUCAGAGAGGGGCCUGUUUAAGGAGUGAGGGACUAGUGCUUGGCAGGGCCAUGGAGACCAGGUCAUGGAGACCAAGCUGACCACUAAGUUCCAGAGCAGGAAAAGGCUAAACUGGGAAACUGAGGGCCGGGGAGAUGGCUCAGCCUAUAAAGUACAUUGCAGUCAUGGGGACCUGAGUUCAAUUUCCAGAACUCAGUUGCUAAAUCAAUAAGUAAUGUAGGAACUCUGGCCUGGGAGCGCAUACUUAUAAUCCCAGAGCUAGGGAGGUGGAAACAGGCAGCUAGGUCCCUGGGGCUUACGCGGUGGAUUCAAGGCUAGUGAGAAACCGUGUCUAUAAAAUAAAACAAAAUAAAAUAAAAUAAAAUAAAAUAGUGCAUGGCACCCAAAGAAUGACAGAGAGUAUUUUACACACACACACACACACACACACACACACACACACACACACACACACGUAGGAGAAAAUCCGAAUAAGCAUGUUGUUUCACUGUGAGAAGGCCAAGGCUGAAGAGGCUGCGACCACGACCAACGGGAAAUGAGUCUGGUGCUUCCUAAGGGUAGGAAGGGCUAUUCGGAGUGGGAGAGUGUUUGCCUAGGGAGUACAAGGCCCGGGUUUGAUUCCCAGCACCGAGGGGAGUGUAGGAAGUAGUGGGGAAAAGAAUACAGCCUAGGGGGCUGAUAGCGUAGAAUAACUCUUGUAAACUAUAUGGUUCAAUGAAUGACGCAGAUAACUGAACAGAAAACAAACAAGCGUGCCUGUCCUCAGCCAGGGCGCUAGGAUCCUGGCUACCCCAGUUGAGGAGUUCCGGGUCUUUCUCUGCUUUUCUCCCGAGUCUGGUCUCCGGUCAUCCUCCCCACCCCCAGCCCCACCCCCAGCCCGGGAGAAAGCACUUGGGAAAUAAGAGAUUUAAGAUCUGAUAUCUGUAAACGUGUCCUUCACCUUUGCUGACCUGUAGCUGUUUCUCCCGGCCGGGAAUUCUAAACUGG
rnacentral:lncRNA from 1 species